AUUGAACGCUGGCGGCGUGCUUAACACAUGCAAGUCGAUCGGUAACAGGUGUAGCAAUACAUGCUGACGAGAGGCGGACGGGUGAGUAAUGCUUGGGAAUCUGCCUAUUAGGUGGGGGACAACCCGGGGAAACUCGGGCUAAUACCGCAUACGCUCUACGGAGGAAAGCCGGGGACCGCAAGGCCUGGCGCUAAUAGAUGAGCCCAAGUCGGAUUAGCUAGUUGGUAGGGUAACGGCCUACCAAGGCGACAAUCCGUAGCUGGUCUGAGAGGACGACCAGCCACACCGGAACUGAGACACGGUCCGGACUCCUACGGGAGGCAGCAGGUGGGGAAUAUUGGACAAGUGGGCGCAAGCCUGAUCCAGCGAUGCCGCGUGUGUGAAGAAGGCCUGCGGGUUGUAAAGC
rnacentral:rRNA from 1 species